UACGAAGGGGGCUAGCGUUGCUCGGAAUCACUGGGCGUAAAGGGUGCGUAGGCGGGUCUUUAAGUCAGGGGUGAAAUCCUGGAGCUCAACUCCAGAACUGCCUUUGAUACUGAGGAUCUUGAGUUCGGGAGAGGUGAGUGGAACUGCGAGUGUAGAGGUGAAAUUCGUAGAUAUUCGCAAGAACACCAGUGGCGAAGGCGGCUCACUGGCCCGUUACUGACGCUGAGGCACGAA
rnacentral:rRNA from 1 species